rnacentral:tRNA from 3 species
GCCGAAGUGGCGGAAUGGUAGACGCGGCGGUCUCAAACACCGUUGGGCAUAACGCCCGUGGGAGUUCGACUCUCCCCUUCGGCACCA